rnacentral:rRNA from 1 species
UACAGAGGGGGCUAGCGUUAUUCGGAAUUAUUGGGCGUAAAAGCGCGCGUAGGCGGUUACUUAAGUCGGAUGUGAAAGCCCUCGGCUUAACUGAGGAAGUGCACCCGAAACUGAGUAGCUAGAGUACUAAAGAGGGUCGCGGAAUUCCCGGUGUAGAGGUGAAAAUUCGUAGAUAUCGGGAGGAACACCGGUGGCGAAGGCGGCGACCUGGGUAGAGACUGACGCUGAGGCGCGAAAAGCGUGGGGAGCAAACAGG